rnacentral:rRNA from 5 species
UGGGGAAUUUUGGACAAUGGGCGAAAGCCUGAUCCAGCAAUGCCGCGUGUGUGAAGAAGGCCUUCGGGUUGUAAAGCACUUUUGUCCGGAAAGAAAACGCCGUGGUUAAUACCCGUGGCGGAUGACGGUACCGGAAGAAUAAGCACCGGCUAACUACGUGCCAGCAGCCGCGGUAAUACGUAGGGUGCAAGCGUUAAUCGGAAUUACUGGGCGUAAAGCGUGCGCAGGCGGUCCGCUAAGACAGAUGUGAAAUCCCCGGGCUUAACCUGGGAACUGCAUUUGUGACUGGCGGGCUAGAGUAUGGCAGAGGGGGGUAGAAUUCCACGUGUAGCAGUGAAAUGCGUAGAGAUGUGGAGGAAUACCGAUGGCGAAGGCAGCCCCCUGGGCCAAUACUGACGCUCAUGCACGAAAGCGUGGGGAGCAAACAGG